GCCAGAUGCUACCAAGGAAAAUGCGGAAACUUUUAAUAAUAACCUGAUUCGGCGUGUUUCAAAUGAUACAGGUCCACCUAGUCAACCCAAAAUUCCCAUUAACACCUUUAUUUACGAGAUGUUCAAUGAAGACAAAAGACCUGGGCCGAUCUCAGAAAGAAGUUGGGGGAUCUUUUCUACAAACGGGAGCGAUGUUUAUUCCCUCGGUCUGGGUUCAUCAGACAGUAUUUCCAACAAUUCUAGUUCAGCUUUUUGUGUAGCGAAACCGGGUGCAGAUGAGAACAAACUGCAAGAUGGAAUUAACUGGGCUUGUGGCCAGGGACGUGCUAAUUGCAGUGCAAUUCAAUCUGGGCAGCCUUGUUAUUUCCCAGAUACUAUACAAAAUCAUGCUUCGUAUGCUUACAACGACUAUUAUCAAAGAAUGCAUAGUCUUGGUGGAACAUGUGAUUUUGAUGGUACAGCAACAAUGACGACACAAGAUCCAAGUUCCAGAACAUGUAAAUUUACCGGAAGUUCGAAUUCAGGUGGAGUGUUUCCUCCGGCAGCAUUUGGACCUAUCGUUGCACCGACUUCUCAGAGUUCAACGAUUCGAUCGCCGGUUAUUGCUUACACAAUUGUUGUAUUUUUGGCUUUGUUGAUUCUUGAUGUGAAUGCACAUUUUGUUUUUUAGCAUCUUUAGGAAGAUUGAGAUCUUUGCAUUUUUGGAUUCCCUUUGUGUAUUUUUGCAGGAAAAA
rnacentral:misc_RNA from 1 species